rnacentral:misc_RNA from 1 species
UGUCCAAACAGAUCACGGAUAUUAUCAAUUCCAUACAAUAUCAUCGUUGGUCUUUCAAGUGAAAGGCCCCAUGCAAUAACACUAACAUCUUCUGGAAAUCCCAUGGGACGCAACAUUUCGGGCCUGAACAUUCCAGAAUUUCCAAUCUCCACCCAUUUCCCAAAGCCUUCGUGAUAGCUGAAAAUCUCCAUGCUAGGUUCGGUAUAUGGAUUAUAAGCAGGCUUGAACCGCAGCUUAGACAUCCCCAAUCGUGAAAAGAAGUCCUCCAGGAUUCCAAUCAGGUGACUCAAAGUAAGGCCUCGAUCACACACCAGACCUUCUAUCUGAUGGAACUCCGCAAGAUGAGUACGAUCUACUGCUUCAUUUCUGAAAACUCGAUCGAUUGAGAAGUAUCUUUUGGGACUAAAAGGAUGCACUUUUGCGUGCUGUGCUAGUGCAUAAAGCAUCUGUGAUGAAAUUGCCGUUGUGUGAGUUCGCAAAAGGUUUUUGUUUGCUUCAUCUCUUUUCCAUUCAUAUCCAUAUCCUCUUGAUCCAUAACCCCCCGACUCAUGAACCUCCUUCACUUGUUCAACAUAAUCCUCUGGCAGCUGCCUUGUCGUUGAAGGAACUUGCAAGAAGAAUGUAUCAUGUGAAUCACGGGCAGGAUGUUGUUGUGGCUGGAACAGUGCAUCAAAAUUCCAGAAGCUGCUCUCAACAUAUCUAUUUGUUGGCAUUUCCUCAAAAUUUAGUUGACGAAAAAUAUCCUUCAAUCGGUCUUUAACCUUGUUCAGUGGAUGAAGAUGGCCACAUUCAGGUGGUGGACCCUUGGCACUGAAGUUAUACUCCUUAAACUCUAGUUCCUUCCAAUCACCCCUCUGUAGAUUUUCCCGAGUCAAAUCAGUUGCUGGUUUCUUUCUUUUCGGUGCAUAGUUAGGACCUUUUCUCACUGAGUAGCCCUUCCAAGUCUGUAAAACAAUCAGCUUUCUUGCUUUCAAUGAAUUAAUAUCAUCCUUGUCAAUUGCCUUGGCAUCUUGAAUCCGCAAAAGCAAGUCCUUUACUUUGUCUUCCACAUGUUGAACCUUCCUCGAUAUAUGCUUUCCCAUUUCCACCC